GACGAACGCUGGCGGCGUGCUUAACACAUGCAAGUCGAACGGAAAGGCCCUGCUUUUGUGGGGUGCUCGAGUGGCGAACGGGUGAGUAACACGUGAGUAACCUGCCCUUGACUUUGGGAUAACUUCAGGAAACUGGGGCUAAUACCGGAUAGGAGCUCCUGCUGCAUGGUGGGGGUUGGAAAGUUUCGGCGGUUGGGGAUGGACUCGCGGCUUAUCAGCUUGUUGGUGGGGUAGUGGCUUACCAAGGCUUUGACGGGUAGCCGGUCGGAGAGGGUGACCGGGGACACUGGGAGUGAGGCAGGGCCGAGUCUGCCACGGGAGGCAGCAGUGGGGGAUAGUGGACAUUGGGCGAAAGACUGGUCCAGCAAUGCCGCGUGAGUGAUGAAGGCGUUAGGGUUGUAAAGCUCUUUUACCCGGGAGGAUAAUGACAGUACCGGGCGAAGAAGCUCCGGCUAACUCCGUG
rnacentral:rRNA from 1 species